ACAAACUACAAUUUGGAGCACAUGGACGAGGACAAGUUCGCGUAUGUCAAUCGGCUUUUCUCCGAACGCUACAAGCAGUGGAAGAGUGACCUGCACCAAUGGUUCCAGGAGUUUGAUGAUCCGCAGGUCGCUCUUGAGGAGGGAUAUUCGAAGGAGUUGGAGGACCGACAAGAUAGUUGGGUUUGGCUUUGCGGUCAUUUUAAGGACCCGACAUAUGUGAAGAAGGUGAAGGCGAACAAGAUCAAUUGAAAGAAGAAGACUCUUCUCCACCAUUCGCGUUCAAGGCCUUUCUCCUAUAGGAUGGAGGCCCUACAUAAGAGGGUUCAAAUUUCCGGAGAUCGAUGUCUUUGCUGACGUUUAUGUUCGGCCUGAGAAUAAGUUGACCUAGUCCCUUCAUGCAACUAUGGUGGAGAAGCGAUAGGUGGUGCUUCAGGAGUCCACCUCCCACCUUCCCUCGGACACGCCAAUCGAGUCUGUGGAUUCCCCCUGAGGAUACAGGGUUUCACAUCGUCACAGAGACGUUGGACCAGACUUUAGGUCAGAGGCUAGGGACAUAUUGUCGGGGGAUGGGAAAUUCCAGGCGUCGGGAGACUGGAGCCUCGUCAUCCUCGUAGUCAAAGAUUACGGUUUUGACGCAGGAAGUCGCUGGGCUGAGGAGUGAGCUGGCAUCGUACAAGUCUCAAAUGUCAAUGCUUGUACAAGCCCUUAGUUCCUCUGGAAUACAUCUCUCCGGUUUUUCUACACCAUCGCCCUCACAACCCUUCCACACCGAGCAAGCACCGCAAUCAGGCCCGUUGACCUCUGGCCCCGUCCCCAACCAGUAGCAAGAUUACCAAGCACCUCCGAAUGACAUGCCUAUAGAUUUUGCCUCUUUAUUUCGUAGUUUUGUUCCCCUUUUUUUUAAAAAAACUUUA